rnacentral:snRNA from 1 species
GUGCUCGCUUUGGCAGCACGUAUACUGAAAUUGGAAUGACACAGAGAAAAUUAGCAUGGCCCCUGCAUAAGGAUGACAUGCAAAUUCAUGAAGCGUUCCAUAUUUUU